AGGGGAAGGCGUCUGCGGGAUGGGGGCUCCGGCGCUGCCUGCGUCGGUCCCGCUCUCCGCCGUCUCACCUCGCUCGAUGUUGGCGAUAGCCCGCCGCAGAUGCUCUUCGGUCACCAGCUCGCCAAUAACCACCAGCAGAGUCACAGAACAACACAGCUGUCAUCGCUUAGACCAAGCACAUCAGCUGCGGGCGGCCUCAACUCACCUGUGUCCUGAAGCACCUCGGGCAAGCCAUCACCCUCACUGACCUGAUAAAUACCGGAGCAGACGUCACUCUGAUAUCAAAAUCAAAAUGGCCACAAGACUGGACCAUCGUGCCUACGCUGGAUCAACUGUUUUAGGAGAGAGUCCACAGCUUCGUGGUUUAAUAUUCCAGUGAGAUCUAAAGAAGAAAGACCAUCUGAUAAUCUUAGAGUGAGUUUUCCUAUCUCGUCAAUUGGGUAAAACUAUAACAACUUGCCCUAAAAUUAUUUCACAAUUGAUUAUCAAGGCUAGAUCUCAAAUACUUUCCCUUGCAAGAAAUGAUUUUGCAGAAAUCUUCCUACCUGUCACAUCCAUCUAUUUAGAAUGGUUAAUUCAAAAUUCAGAAGUCAUGCAAUUUACUUUGGAAAAUUUUGCAAGAAAAAUUUCAGUCAAUUGUCCCAAACAUGAGCUAUUAAGUUCAUCUUUAAAAUUAAUCCAUAAGCCUUUAAGAAGUCAUGCACCCCUCGAGGCAAUCACAUUUUUUACAGACGGUUCUGGAAAGUCUAAAAAGAUCGGUGAUUGCUUGGCAAAAUUCAGAGACGAAAAAAUGGGAAUCAGAUAUUGAGGAAGUAGAUGGUUCUGCACAGAUUACAGAGUUAGCAGCAGUUGUACGGGUCUUUUCAAAAUUCACAUUUCCUUUUAAUUUAAUAACGGAUUCAAUUUACGUUGCAAGUGUAGUAGAAAGAGUAGAAGGAUCUCUGCUAAAAGAAGUUGCUAAUGAUCAGUUAUACAGUUUGCUUAAAAAGUUAAUCCUACUUCUUUCCAUUCGACAAGAACCUUACUUUGUAAUGCACAUUCGCUCACAUUCUUCUCUUCCAAGUUUUUUUAGCAGAAGGCAAUGCCAUGGCUGAUUUAUUAGCCAUGCCAAUCCAGCACACACUUCCUAAUGUUAUUGAACAAGCCAGAAUGAGCCAUGCUUUUUAUCAUCAAAAUGCACCUGUUUUAGUAAGAAUGUUUAACAUCUCUCAGAAUCAGGCAAAAGCAAUUGUUCAGUCAUGUCCAGAUUGCCAGAAAUUAGCUAUACCACCAAUAGCAACAAGAAUUAACCCUCGAGGCUUAAAUAGCCUGCAAAUAUAGCAAAUGGAUAUCACUCAAUAUCAGUCAUUUGCAAGGUUCAAACAUAUACAUAUAUCAAUAGAUACCUUCUCAUGAGCAAUUUUUGCUUCUGCACAUCAAGGAGAAAAAAGUAGAGAUGUGAUUAAGCAUUUCUUACAAACAUUUGCAUCCCUAAGUAUUCCUCAAGAAGUCAAAACUAACAACAGACCAGCCUACAUUUCUAAUAAACUGCAGGAGUUUUUCAAAACUUGAGGUAUCAAACAUACCACAGGUAUUCCACAUUCUUCCACAGGCCAAUCCAUUUUAGAAAGAGCACACAAGUCAUUGAAAAUGAUCCUUAAAAGACAGAAAGGAAAGACAGAAGUGCUUUCUACAAUAGAGAAGCUGAAUAAAGCUAUAUAUGUUGUUAACUUCUUAAAUAAUUCUUUUAUGGAGCAGGUACCACCAAUUUUCAGACAUUUCAGCAAUAUCAGUCAAGCAAAGCUCAAGGAAAGACCACCAGUCUACAUCAAGGAUCCAGAGACAAGACAGAUUUCGAGACCCCAUCCUCUUAUAACUUAGGGCUGGGGGUUUGCAUGCAUUUCUACAAAUGCAAGUUUUCGAUAGAUCGCUGCAAAGAAUGUCAAGCCACAGGUACAGCCGAUCGAGAGCAGCAAACAGAACCAGAAGAAGAAUACACAAACAACUGAACGACAGCUAUAAGCAAAGACUGUUUUCUAAGUUUGCACUAGUUAAAAUUGUUUACAAAAAAGUUUUGCACUAAAAAAGUUCUAUAAUUAUUGUUGUUGUGAUAAAAAAGUUGUAACCUACCUCUAUGUAAAAUCAUAUAUAGCCAAAAAUUUGAAGCUUACCUGGAAAAACACUUCACCAAAGUUAAAAUAGAAGAUUAGAAACAAAAUUUAAAAAUUAUUGGCAUUUCAGUUUAUACUCCUUUCUCCUCUUUAUCUCUAAGUAUAUAGAAAAGGGUGACCUGUAUGAGUGUAGGUGUGCCCCCUAAUGACAGAGUGGCAAAGCUAGCCUUUGUCCCCCAAAAAAGGAAAGAAGCCCAGAAGUUUCUCUCAAGGAUUAGGUGAAAAGCCACCUCAUAGGACCCCAGAGGCUUCAGUAAAAACUUGGGGUCAUCUAAUUGGAUAGAAGCCAAAAAGUCCCGCCUGGCCCAUCAGGUAGAAAAGAGGAGAACAAAAGAACUAAGAGGCUUUUGUGAAGGUGUUUAUACCAGGGGCAGACCUCUGUACCUGGCUCGAGUUUUUCUGUUUGUUAUUUUGCCUUUUAUUAAACCUUUUUGUUUCUAACGCUGCAGCAGAAGCCAUCCUGCUCAUUAUUUGCCUCCAAAGGUAAUAGCUAAGCUAUCCUUGGGUAUGUUAGGUUCCCUUUUGAGGGUUCAUAAGACCUGGCCCGAGAAAAAGAACCUAGCACUGGGCAACCUCUGCCAGUGUUCAGUUACCCUCAGAGUGUAAAAGUGUUUCCUGAUGCAUGAUCAAAUCAAGAAUAUGCCACCAAUAUUCUAGCAAGUAAUACCCAUAAUAUUUUGUACCAAACCUGCUGUCUUCUCAGUGUGACCUAUUGUCACUCUCAGUACUCCCACUCCUCCUUACAUUCCUCAUUUCCUGUAGUCAGCAGCUCCACCAUCCCCAUAUGGUUCAUCCUGUACCUCCCAGAGUCCCCUCCUUGGGUUGCUCCUUUACAGCAAUUCAGCAGAGCAUGAAGCAGCAGUGCAGGCAUGGAGGGACAAUCAGCACUUUGAUCUGACCCCAGUAGAAAAGAUGUGUCAUCUGCAGCCACUGGCUGUGACAUGAUUAGUUAGGAGCCCUGCCUGUCCCUGCAAGAACCAGGAUGUGUGGGUUUUGUCCUGGUUCAGGGCAAAUUUGGGAGAUAACCCCCAAAGGGGCUCCUCUACAAAAGCAGAUCCAAUUGGCCCCUCCCCCCCAACCGAUUCGGGAGAAAAUAUCUCCUUGGAGAAAAAGUGGAAAGAAACCUGUUUAUUAAACAAUAGAACCAAAACAAUAUUAAACAAUAAAACCUCUUGCUGCUCCAAAAAAGAGAUGACAGAACAGUCCCCUCUCCAGGCUGCAGCUUGGCUCACUCAGUCUCUUAUCAGUCCUUCCGGUGCUGGAAAUGCUACGGCCCAGGCCCGGCCCGGCGGCCACAGGUGGAGCUGCCGGUACUCUUCUGGGUGUUCAGUCCAGAGCAGGUUUGAACGGGUCCAAGAAAAAGAAAAAACACAGUCCAGGGAACUUCUUUACCUCAGCUAGCUAAAACUAACUAAAAGCAAAAAAACAGCUCUGUCCUGCUGUCUGUCCAUCCACAGACAACACAGUCCAGGAGCAGGAAUGUGGAGGAGUGAGUGCAGUCUGAAAACAAACUGUGUGCUUCUUCCCUCCCCUCUUCACUCUCUGGAAGAGAGUCUUAAAGGUGUAAAAUUUAUUAUUCAGUAUAAACAGAACAAGACGAUUGGGGAUAAAAGCAUCAUAUAGUCAACCAAGGACAGGUUUAUAAAGAUGAUUCCUCUUGCCUCCCGCAUAUUUUUAGACAGGAAGGCUAUAGCAGCAUGUUCCCUGUAGCCAUGAUAUUUUCUGGAAAAUCCUUUUGCCAGGAUUUUUGUCCUGAGAAGCUGAGGAGCCUCAGGAAAGAAAUGCAAAACUAUAAUUUUCUGCUCCUGUGGAAUGCAACAGGUGCAUCUGUGAUUGGUGCAUGUUGGUUGUUUCUAAUUAGUGGCCAAUCUCAGUCAGCUGGCUCAGACUCUCUGGGAGUCAUGAGCUUUUGUUAUCAUUCCUCUCCUGUCUUUUCUAGCCUUCUGAUGGAUCUUUUCUCUCUAUUCCUUUUAGUAUAGUUUUAGUAUAACAUUUUAAUAUAAUAUAUAUCAUAAUAUAAUAAAUCAGCCUUCUGAAACAUGGAGUCAAGAUUCUUGUCUCUUCCCCUCGUCCUGGCACCCACAAACACAACCAUAGUUCCCUUCUGUCACAGAACAACUUAUCUGUUCUGUCUAUCAGCUGGUGCCAUAGCUCAGUACAUCUUCGCCCUCACGUCAAUCUGCUAAUUGGUGAGAUAACCCAGACCAGAAAUCUAUUCAGUAGUGAGUUAUCUUUGGUGCCGUGGCGGUGGCAUUCCCAUCUGACAAUAAACAUCUCACCUUGAGAGCAGAUUGAAGGGAUAUAAGCCUUGAAUUUCUGACUGACAGACAAUUUACAAACUUGUCCUGGGUUGACUAUAUGAUGCUUUUAUCUCCAAUUGUCUGUUCUGUUUAUGGUGAAUAAUAAGUUUUGCACCUUUAAGACUUGUUCCAGAGAGUGAAGAGGGGAGGGAAGAAGCGCGCAGUUUGUUUGCAGACACUGCACUCACUCCUCCACAUUCCUCCUCCUGGACUGUGUUGUCUGCGGAUCGACAGACAGUAGGACAGAGCUCUCCUUUGUUUUAGUUAGUUUUAGAUAGCUGAGGCAAAGAAGUUCCCUGGACUGUGGUGUUUUUUUCCCUUUUCUUUGGACCUGCUUAAACCUGCUCUGGACUGAACACCCAGAAGAGCACCGGCAGCUUGCCCCUAUGGCCCACCGGGCCAGGCCUGGGCCACAGCAUUUCCAGCAUCGGAGGGACUGAUAACAGACUGAGUGAGCCAAGCUGCAACCCAGGGAGGGGACUUUUCUGAGUUUGUCAUCUCUUUUGGAGCAGCAAGAGGUUUUAUUGUUUAAUAUUAUUUAGGUUUUAUUGUUUAAUAAACAGUUUUUUACACUUUUCUCCAAGGAGGUUUUUUUUCCCAAACCGGUUGGGGGAGGGCCCAAUUGAAUCUGCUUUUCUAGAGGAAUCCCUUUGGGGGUUCUCUCCCAAAUUUGCCCUGAACCAGGACAAAACUAUAAAAGCUACACCAAACUUUCACAAAGUAGAAAUCUUCUGCACGUUUCUUGAAGUGUGUAAGAGCGUCUCUCCUCAAAAACAGGGAUGCCUGUUUUGAGAUACUUUCCUGGGAAUUGAGAGAAAGGAAAGUUGUGUGCUCUAUCAUCAAUUUGGUGGUAAAUUACACACAUUCCUUAAAUCUAUACUACUUCUUUGCUAGCUGUAGCCAUCGUCGCAAUAUUCAAAGGGAUGGGACCAUGAUCAGACUAAGAACGAUUUAUUGCUUAGAUAAGAUACAUCUCAAAGGCCAUGAGAUUUAUAAGACAGCAAGCAGUCGGCCAUAGUCUAAGAUGGUCACAGGUUCUUCGUUACAAGGCAAUAUAUAACUUCAUGACCCAAUAGGGUGAUUUCACAGAGUUUAUUUUGCUUUUCUGACCUAUCACCUUUACUUCUUUCUACUGCAAUGUGGAUACUUUUGCCCAAUAAGGUCUUAUUUCUCUUAUAACAUCUAAACCCUUAGCUUAUUCAAUACAAUCACAUUACUACACUAUAAAACCCUUCAUCAUCUUAUCUAUACAGUUUCUUACUUACUUAAGGCAUAUUCUUACUUUUAACUAUAGAAACAUAAGUUGAUGAUUUCUCUGUUUAAUGUCUGUGUGCCUUGCUUUCACAUCAAUCUAGGCUUCUUCUAAGGCUGUAAAUCAAACCACCUUGUGUCUGUGAAGAUUUCUAUCUUUCCAAUUCCCACCGCUAGCUGUAAUAUAGGUACCUUUAUUGUGCACUGUUUAUGUAUCUACUAGUAGUUCUUUUGUUUAUCCUAUGUAGUAAGUAGUCUGUUUAAAGGCUUUUGUCUGUUAAUCUUGUGUCUAUUCAAUAAAUAAUUAAUUUUAUCAUAGA